GUGCAGUCAGCUACCAAAUAAGGAGGCACCCGAGCUAUAAAUAGCUGUUAAGACAAGCUGAGGCGUGCCCUGACUUUAAGGUCAGCUCAGCUGUUAGCUGCUUGGCAGACAUGGGGGCAACAGCUAACUCUCGUCUCCUCCCUCCUCAAGCACCCCCUUGUUUUGCACAGGGCUCCAGCUCCUCCCUGCCUCCUGAAUCAGACAAUGUCACCAUCAACUGAAGGCCCUGGACCAGGCUUCCAGGAAAGGCCAAGACAACCAGUUUGCCAUUGAGAUGCCAGCUGGGGCCGUGUGCGAUGGCUCACAUCUGUAAUCCCAGCACUUUGGGAGGCCGAGGAAGGCGGAUCACCUGAGUUCAGGAGUUCCAGACCAGCCUGGUCAACAUGGUGAAACCCCGUUUCUACUAAAAAUACAAAAAAAUUAACCUGGCGUGGUGGCAUGCACCUGUAAUCCCAGCUACUCGGGAGGCUGAGGCAUGAGAAUCACUUUAACCCGGGAGGCAGAGGCUGCAGUGAGCUGAGAUCAUGCCACUGCACGCCAGCCUGGGUAACAGAGCAAGACUCCGUCUCAAAAAAAAAAAAAAAAAAGAGAGAGAUGCCAGUUGGCUGGGCUUGGCAUAACAUGAAAAGGGGAUGAUGACUUUUUUUUGAAGAUUAUUGCUUUUUCUCAGCAAUGUGCACAGUUUAAAUGGAAAGGGAUCAGGUUGUGCCAGCCCCAAGCAAUGCACUUUGGCAUAGGAUUAUUUUGAGCUGAAAGAAAUUGAGGAUCAACAGAUGGAAGAAGGUUCUCUGCCCUCUUCUUAGCCAACCAAGAGCAGAGCAGAAACUUCCCUCGGUGGUAUGAAUUUCCCUUGUGAAGGUGCCUCCCUUCUUGUACCAGAAAGAGGAGAGCCGCUCUUAUCACCAGAGACAGAGAGCUGGCAGCAGGGUGAGUCUGCAUAAACAAGCCUGGUGAAAAUAACCCUUGUCUGCCAUUAGUUUCUCCUGUAUUCCUAGUCACUUUCCCACAAGUAGUCAAUCAACCCUUGAAGCCCAAACCCCCUUUCUUUUGUUAAAAUGGUAUAUAAGCCCCAGAGUCUAAGUGACCUUCUUUGAGUUUCAAUUUUCUGUGAACUCCUGUGCUCAUAAAUAUUAAUUAAAAAUUUAUGCUUUGGGGGCUUGGUGAAGUGGCUCAUGCCUGCUACCCCAGCACUUUGGGAGGCCAAGGCGGGUGGAUCAUUUGAGGUCAGGAGUUCGAAGCCAGCCUGGCCAACAUGGCAAAACCCCCCUCUCCACUAAAAAUACAAAAAAUUAGUUAGUUGGGCGUGGUGGUGCAUACCUGUAGUC
rnacentral:lncRNA from 1 species